UAAAUAGUUUUCACUUUUUAUCAAAUUACGUAAAUGUUAUAUACUUUUACUAUUUGUGUCCGAUUAUAUAAAUAUAUAACGUAAAUGUAAAAAAAAGCAUAGUUACUUUUAACCUUUAUUUGACUGUCGCAGUAUGAACUAUGAUACUUUUAAACAGUGAUUUCUAUGAUUUGCGUUUAAGAAAGAGGAUUCAUGAAUGCAUAAGCUUAAACAAAGCAUAUUAAAUAGUUAUUGAUAUAGUAUCGUAUAUAUGAAAAUAACAUGUUGACUAAUGAUUCUCAUUAAAACGUGUACAAAGAAUGUUUGUCAAUAAGAAUUAUGCGUAAUUUAUGGCAGAAGACGUUAUAGUCAAGACGAAAAUAUUAUCAAGUUGCUGGCACUGUUAUGUGUUUAAAAUCACUUGUUUAGUGCCAUUUUCUGCACAGGUUUGAAAUUUACAGGAUUAUCUUCAUUUUCCUGUUAGAUUCAAAUUUUCACGAAAUUUGUCUGCAAAACGUUAUAUUUCUGCAUGUCUAGCUGAUGAUGCAGUUUGACCUAUCGACCGAAUUGUGUGCCUUGCUCAAAUUAUGUUUUUGUUAUUGAUUUAAAAAUGUAUUCGGUCUUAUUAUAAAAAAAAA